GAUGAACGCUGGCGGCGUGCCUAAUACAUGCAAGUCGAGCGAACAGACGAGGAGCUUGCUCCUUUGACGUUAGCGGCGGACGGGUGAGUAACACGUAGGUAACCUACCUAUAAGACUGGGAUAACUUCGGGAAACCGGAGCUAAUACCGGAUAAUAUUUCGAACCGCAUGGUUCGAUAGUGAAAGAUGGCUUUGCUAUCACUUAUAGAUGGACCUGCGCCGUAUUAGCUAGUUGGUAAGGUAACGGCUUACCAAGACAACGAUACGUAGCCGACCUGAGAGGGUGAUCGGCCACACUGGAACUGAGACACGGUCCAGACUCCUACGGGAGGCAGCAGUAGGGAAUCUUCCGCAAUGGGCGAAAGCCUGACGGAGCAACGCCGCGUGAGUGAUGAAGGUCUUCGGAUCGUAAAACUCUGUUAUUAGGGAAGAACAAACGUGUAAGUAACUGUGCACGUCUUGACGGUACCUAAUCAGAAAGCCACGGCUAACUACGUG
rnacentral:rRNA from 1 species